AUCCGCGUGGCUCAGUUGGUAGAGCUUGGCACUUGCAACGCCAGGGUUGCAGGUUUGAUUCCCGCGGGGGACC
rnacentral:tRNA from 1 species